UAAUGUGCUGCAGGCAAAGCGGGUGAAGGAAUUUUACAAGGCUGUGUCUGAUCCUCCCUCUCCCCUCCCUCGGACAGUUAAAGCAAUGCUUGUGUGAUGAAAGGGGUGAGGGAGCAGAGGACGGCUGGUUAAGAUGAAAUGUGUGAGCAUUAUCAUGCAAUAAUGGAUUUAGCUGACUGUUUGCCAAUGGUCAGAUCUAGUGUGAAUUGCUUUAUAUGAAACUCAGGGAUUCAUGCAUUAUCCUGCUCCUAAAUCCUUUGAAAGCUGGGACUUUAAAAAAGAAAAGAAACAUUGGGAUGCUUCUGGUUUCUGCCUGUCAGAUGAGGGCUGUAGACGUGCAGCAAGCCGACAACAGAUAUUUUAUCUGGACACAGGCAAGACUUAUGAAGGUCUUACAGACAAGAGGAUGCUGUGUGUGAGUCCGUGACUGGGACCCAGACACGCAGAUUUGCCAGUCAAUUGAGCCCUUAGCUACAGCUGAAUUCAUCUAUCAACCUAUUAUUCAAACCACGUGUUACUGGGCACGUCUGUUUUGAUCACCCAGGUGUGACCUGAAGCCUCUGUAACCUUCCUGGAGGACUCGCUUUACUCUCGGCUCUGCUAAGGCCUGUUACAACAGCGUGUUGUUAUUUAUCUCAUCUCUCCCCUUGCCUAAUCGGUCACGUACCUACUUGGUGUUUGCAAUAGCUGAGUCCCAUCAGAGACAGGAUUUCAAAUUGUUCCUCCCUGUGUCAUCAAACUGCAUGUGGAAAGCCAGCAGCGUUCCCUGUAUUUUUGGAAAAUCCUAGGAAACAACCCAGAAGGAGCAACACCUGAGCUAGUGGCUUCUGCAGCUAUGACUCAGUGUGAGCACAAGUCCAUGAGCAGUCACAAAAAUAGACACUGUUGUGCUGACUGUAUUCAAGAGGGGGGGUUAUGUACACUU